rnacentral:misc_RNA from 1 species
ACAAACUUGGUCAUUUAGAGGAAGUAAAAGUCGUAACAAGGUUUUCGUAGGUGAACCUGCGAAAGGAUCAUUACCGAGUUAGGGUCUUCUACAGGCCCGACCUCCCAACCCCAUGUUUACUUGUACCUUGUGUUGCUUCGGCGGGCCCGUCUCGCGAGAGACCGCCGGCGGCCCCGGGAAACCGGGCCUCUGGUCCGCGCCCGUCGACAGCCCAACCUCAAAAUUCUUGAACCAUUCGUGUCUAUGUCUGAAUAUCUAUUACAAAUAAAGCAAAAAACUUUCAACAACGGAUCUCUUGGUUCUGGCAUCGAUGAAGAACGCAGC